AGAGACUAUGGGUUGAGGAGGAAUUGGAAGUUUGUCGGCUUAGACCUGGUGUCAUUCCAUCAAUGUUAAACUUCCCGGCUCAUCUUGGAAGAGUACGUGCCAGAAAGACCACGACCAAGUAGCCUUGAGAUCUUAGGCAGCGUCUCCCUCAGACCAAAGAACUACAGACUCUUCACAACCUGCUCAAACUCUUGGUACAGGACCUCACCACACGGGUCAAGAAGGUUUCUGUCUCAUUUCUACUCUGAAGCUCACCUUCUCCUGCUCAAACUGCUGACAAAUGUUUCUGCUGCUCUAAAGUCUGGUCUCCAGAACUUCCUAAAAACUCUCAAAGUCUCUUCUGCUGCAGGUUGCUUUGUAGAACUGUUGCAGAAAACCUCACUAAACCACAUGGAGGGGCCUCAAGAUAGUCGUCCAAAUGAAACCAUACAAAAACCAAACUAGCACAACCCAAACGCUAAAGUCUCCUGCAGCCUACCAGAGAACCUCUGAGAACAGAGAAUCAGGACAGGAACUCUUACCUUCUGGACAACCAACGUUGGUUCUCAAACAAGAAUACAGAAUGUGUCUGACCAAAAACCUCUGAAGACUCACUACAGCCAAGAUAAAGACACAACUCAGCUGCACCAAAUCCACUAAUCACUGCACACUUUAGCACCAUGUGCUAACUGUGGCUGAAGAACCACAUUUACCAAGACAACUAUCCAGUACAAAGCCCUAAAACACACCAAGAAACACAUUAAAGUCUAUUUUACUGCUGGAAGCUGCAAGCCAACACCUAAAGAACAAACUAAAGCAACGAAGCCAAACCCGGUUCAGUGGUGAAGAGAAGCAGAGGAAAUGUUUGUCUGCAGCUAAAUAAAGCAGGAAGACACUGAGCUGCUCAGGUGUUCCUGAUAACACCAAGCAGCCACCUGGACAGCCAAUAGGAACACAGCUUACUGGAAGUCCAGAGGGCUGGGUUAGUGAAGGAAAUUUAGUUUAAAGUUGAAGCAGAAAGUUAAUAAAGAAAGUUGAAAACCA